rnacentral:rRNA from 1 species
UGGGGAAUAUUGGACAAUGGGGGCAACCCUGAUCCAGCCAUGCCGCGUGAGUGAAGAAGGCCUUCGGGUUGUAAAGCUCUUUGAGCGGGGAGGAAGGUCAUAUCGUUAAUAGCGGUAUGAAUUGACGUUACCUGCAGAACAAGCACCGGCUAACUCUGUGCCAGCAGCCGCGGUAAUACAGAGGGUGCGAGCGUUAAUCGGAAUUACUGGGCGUAAAGCGCGCGUAGGCGGCUUUAUAAGUUGGGUGUGAAAUCCCCGGGCUUAACCUGGGAACUGCACUCAAGACUGUAAAGCUGGAGUUUGGGAGAGGGUGGUGGAAUUUCCGGUGUAGCGGUGAAAUGCGUAGAUAUCGGAAGGAACAUCAGUGGCGAAGGCGACUGCCUGGCCCAAAACUGACGCUGAGGCGCGAAAGCGUGGGGAGCAAACAGG